GCUUGAGAUCAUCUUCCCGCAGAUUGGAGAGACAACGGCCAAGAGCGGCGAUGUGGCGGUUGUGGCGUUCUUGAAGCUGGGCCAUGAGUGCCACGCCGAUCUCAGGCUCCAAAUCAUGGCUGCUGUCUCGUCCUAGUCCUCCUCCUCCUUUGGUUGCCUGCCCUGCCCUUAUCAUUGUUCAUCGCAUCCACUUCCAGUUCAACGACUAACUCCUUGGAAUUCUCCUCCUCCUCCUCCUCCUCCUCCUCCUCUCACUCUCUCUCUUCUGAAAGAACGGUAUGAUAUUUUCUGUCGCAUUGCUGAUUUACUCAGCACCUGUUCUCUGUCGCGGAGCCAAUUUUACUUUAUAUUCCUCCAGAGGCAUUGAUGUAGAGUAGGCCAGUGGAAGGCAACGAUGAGGUUUCUUGAUACAGGAGCUGUGGUGGGAGCUUCCUUUGCUUCUUUGCUUUGUACUUGUGAUUUUGUUAAUUUAAUUCAUGUAGUUAGUUCUGAUCUGCACUUCACUGAAAACCUGUGGUUGAAAAAAAAAAAUCGCCUUCGGUAUGCGAAUCCAUAAUCUACAUGCAUAAAUCUUCCUCUUGUAUUCUGUUACGAUGUCUGUUGAGAAGUUUGGAGAAACUUUCUGUCCAAUUGGCGUUUUCUUUCAUUGCUCAGUUCAAAUUAAUCAGAGAAGAGAUCACGUCUGUGAUCGAUUGUAUGCUUUCUAAAUGUUAAAUCUUUUUUUAUAUCAUUCCUCUUUUUUUUUUUUAAUUCAAUUUUCAUUUCGGAGUCACGCAAGUACCCUCAAAUAUUAAUAAUUUUUAUUUUAAUUUCUAAUAUCCAUAUAUCCAUUGUAGUAUUCUCACCUCUGCCAUAUAAAAACUCGAUUAAUCAAAUUGCCACCAGAAACUUAUUUUGAUAGUAUUUUCUGCUGCAGAUGCUUUUAGUAAGCCUAAGCAUCCUCUAUUUUUAUAACUUGAACCUUAGAGCUUUUUCUGAUAGUAUCUUUGACAUGAGUGGUUCAUUCUUUGAUUCUGCAACUAAAAUUCUUUUCUUGUAUAGCAUGGCAGUUUCAUGUUAUUCUCUGCCACUUGAGCUCCAGGAAUAUCCUGGUGAUAUAUUAUACCAUUAUCAUGCAAUUGGGCUUUUCCUCUAUUUCAGGUCAGGGGUUGCUCCUGCAGUAACUAAAACCUACAGUUGAUGUGCUUGGGAUAGGAGAGUAUUUAGGAAAGCAUUUACUGGAAAAUUUGGAUCAGUAUCUUGGAAUUUCUGGACCUAGAUUUAUGGGGUCAGCAACUGCACAUAGAUAUCUUUGGAAGUAGGUCCCAGCUGCUGCCCCUCAUGCUGAUUUCUAUACAUUGUGCUGUUAGGUUGAUAAGUGCUGUGGACUUUUAAUUAUAGUCUAUGUAGCAUGCUUCCCUUCUUGUAGAGAGAAUUGUAAUAUGGCCUUUAUAUUUUCCUUCCUUUUGUUUAACAUUCAAUUAUAAACUGACUCUAGGCUUAGAUUUUGUUAGAUAAUUAGAAAAAUCCUAACUGAACCUUCAAAGAAGUGGAGGCACACACCAAUAGCAGGCCUUCCAAUUAGUUUAUUCUGAAGGGAAAUUUGGUAAUCAAUAUCAAUAACUUUGAUGAUUAGAUAAAGGUAAAACAGUCAUCUGCAACCUAAGAAACAAGGAUAGUUUCUCUAAGCAAAGAAAGAUAAAUAGGAGAAAAAAACACCAAGUCUUCUUUGAUGUUUGACAUAUUUCUAUCCACUAUAGUUGAUUCAACCUUAGUUCACUUCAUAGACUUGUAAUUUCAAUAUAAUUACAUAUCAACUUCAACUGUGUGGCACUAGUAAGCUCAUUCAAGAUAGUAAAGUCUUUCUUCUCUCUUUUUAUCCCUAAUUGCUUACUGAUUAAUGAUCACUUUGUGGGAAGGAGGAGACCACUGAUUUGACAUAUAAUUUGUGGUUAUUUUGAUGCUUAAAUUUCUGCAUAAUCCAAAUGGUUUAGGUGAGUGUGGGGUCAUCCAAUUAUCUCUAAUUAUCUAAUGCACCAAAAUGUUAAAAGUUCCAAUAACUGGCUAUGAGUAUUAUAGGUUAGGCACCCAAAUAAUGCCAUUAUUCAUGAAAAUCUUUGGCACCAAAAGAAAAUUUGCCUAACACCGGAAUUCCUAUCCUGUUAUAUGAAAUGAUUGUUAAAAAAAGUAUUGUUUUAAAAAUUGAUUUUUGAAGGUUUUUCUUAAUAGUGUGCUAUGAUGACUUUAUUUCAAGAGUCAACUGCAGCAAUAACUUCCACUCUGCUGCUGAUCAAAUGCUGAAACUAUAAAGUACCUGUUAUUCCUCAGUAUUGCACUUAGACCCUGUCCUUUCACUAAGCUUGAGACAACCUCAACAGAGAGCAUGCCUUGCUUCCUCCCUUUGUUCUCGUAUUCUUUUCCUCUGCAGAAAAAGUUUUCCUAGAAGGAACCACAAUAAGAAUGACAACAAAUAAUAUCCACUAGAGAACAGAUCAUCAUUACAGUAUAUGGAGGAGAGCAAAUACCUAAAUCGACCCUGCUAAUGAAGUUAAUAUCAGACCCCUCAUAGCUCAUUGAUUUGAUCAUACUGUUGCUGAUCAAGUUUUCCUGUAAAAGAAGCCUUGUUGGAGCAAUCUAGUAGCAAAUUAGAGGGGAGACAUGAAUGACAAUGUGGAAUCAUGCUUUUGGUGAAAAAAGAGCAUUCUUAUAUCAUUUUUGUGCCCCACUAACUAACAUUUGCCAUGACAGAAAAGAAAGGCUGGUUCCUUCUGCAGUGGACUCAUGAUGGCAUCCAGUGGUUUAACUUGAACCAAGUAGAUAUGUCCUCAAGCCAAGGAUUUGAUGAGGAUGCAGCAGCUCAAAUAUCUCAUCGGGAGAAUAUUUUAGAUGCAGUCUCUGAUCACAAAACCAAUGUGAUGAUGGAACAUCCCCAAAAGAAAAUUAUUCAUUUUCCAAGGAAGACUCUAAGCUUUUGCCAUAUCUUUCCUUAACAGAAGUGAUGACUGUUUGGUUCAAAUACCCAUUAAGUGAGCAUGGAACUUAAAUUUGAUGAAUAUUAUGAGUUUUGGGGGGCAUAUAUAUCUUAUUCUUGGAGGUUCAUAUUGUAUUGUUUUUAUAUAUUCUUGAAGGCAGUAAAUUCAGAUUUGAUCAGGUAUUUACAGAUAGUGUGGAUGGAUAUGUACAAAUUACUCUCCAUGAGUAUGA